UACGCAGGGACCAAGCGUUGUUCGGAUUUACUGGGCGUAAAGGGCGCGUAGGCGGCCGCAGUAAGUCACUUGUGAAAUCUCUGAGCUUAACUCAGAACGGCCAAGUGGAUACUGCAGUGCUAGAGUGUGGAAGGGGCAAUCGGAAUUCUUGGUGUAGCGGUGAAAUGCGUAGAUAUCAAGAGGAACACCUGGAGGUGAAGACGGGUUGCUGGGCCAACACAUGACGGCUGGAUGACGCGAAAGCCAGGGGAGCAAACGGG
rnacentral:rRNA from 1 species